rnacentral:rRNA from 1 species
UACGUAGGGUGCGAGCGUUGUCCGGAAUUACUGGGCGUAAAGAGCUCGUAGGUGGUUUGUCGCGUUGUCCGUGAAAACUCACAGCUUAACUGUGGGCGUGCGGGCGAUACGGGCAGACUGGAGUACUGCAGGGGAGACUGGAAUUCCUGGUGUAGCGGUGGAAUGCGCAGGAUAUCAGGAGGAACACCGGUGGCGAAGGCGGGUCUCUGGGCAGUAACUGACGCUGGAGGAGCGAAAAGCGUGGGGAGCGAACAGG